rnacentral:rRNA from 1 species
CCUACGGGAGGCAGCAGUGAGGAAUAUUGGUCAAUGGACGAGAGUCUGAACCAGCCAAGUAGCGUGAAGGAUGACUGCCCUAUGGGUUGUAAACUUCUUUUAUAUGGGAAUAAAAUGUUCCACGUGUGGGAUGUUGUAUGUACCAUAUGAAUAAGGAUCAGCUAACUCCGGGCCGGCAGCCGCGGUAAUACGGAGGAGCCGAGCGUUAUCCGGAUGUAGUGGGGUUAAAGGGAGCGUAGGUGGAUUGUUAAGUCAGUUGUGAAAGUUUGCGGCUCAACCGUAAAAUUGCAGUUGAAACUGGCAGUCUUGAGUACAGUAGAGGUGGGCGGAAUUCGUGGUGUAGCGGUGAAAUGCUUAGAUAUCACGAAGAACUCCGAUUGCGAAGGCAGCUCACUGGACUGCAACUGACACUGAGGCUCGAAAGUGUGGGUAUCAAACAGGAUUAGAUACCCCUGUAGUC